rnacentral:rRNA from 1 species
AUUGAACGCUGGCGGCAUGCUUUACACAUGCAAGUCGAACGGUAACAGGCCGCAAGGUGCUGACGAGUGGCGAACGGGUGAGUAAUGCAUCGGAACGUGCCCAGUCGUGGGGGAUAACGCAGCGAAAGCUGCGCUAAUACCGCAUACGAUCUAUGGAUGAAAGCGGGGGACCGUAAGGCCUCGCGCGAUUGGAGCGGCCGAUGUCAGAUUAGGUAGUUGGUGGGGUAAAGGCUCACCAAGCCAACGAUCUGUAGCUGGUCUGAGAGGACGACCAGCCACACUGGGACUGAGACACGGCCCAGACUCCUACGGGAGGCAGCAGUGGGGAAUUUUGGACAAUGGACGCAAGCCUGAUCCAGCAAUGCCGCGUGCAGGAAGAAGGCCUUCGGGUUGUAAACUGCUUUUGUACGGAACGAAACGGCUCUGGUUAAUACCUGGGGCUAAUGACGGUACCGUAAGAAUAAGCACCGGCUGACUACGUGCCAGCAGCCGCCGCCGUAA